GACGAACGCUGGCGGCGUGCUUAACACAUGCAAGUCGAACGGAAAGGCCCUGCUUUUGUGGGGUGCUCGAGUGGCGAACGGGGGAGUAACACGUGAGUGACCUGCACUUGACUUUGGGAUAACUUCAGGAGACUGGGGCUAAUACCGGAGAGGAGCUCCUGCUGCGUAGUGGGGUAUGGAAAGUUUCGGCGGUUGGGGAUGGACUCGCGGCUUAUCAGCUUGUUGGUGGGGUAGUGGAGUACCAAGGCUUUGACGGGUAGCCGGCCUGAGAGGGUGACCGGCCACAUUGGGACUGAGAUACGGCGCAGAAGCCUACGGGAGGCAGCAGUGGGGAAUAUUGCACAAUGGGCGGAAGCCUGAUGCAGCAACGCCGCGUGCGUGAUGACGGCCUUCGGGUUGUAAACCGCUUUCGCCUGUGACGAAGCGUGAGUGACGGUAAUGGGUAAAGAAGCACCGGCUAACUACGUG
rnacentral:rRNA from 1 species